UACAAAACACAUCACUCAAAAUAGCCCUCACUGAGAAGUGAGAACACUAAACUCUCGAACCCUCUUCAUCACUCUUUAAGAACCCUAAACCCUAAGAACCCUAUCUCGUAGCCCUCUCUCAGCUUGCAACCCUCUUUCAGCUCAUAGACCUCCUCAUCAUUGAGAACCCAUCUUCAUCUCUCAGCUCGUAACCAUUUAUCCCUCUCUUGCAACCCUCGUUAACUUCAAUCGGUGUUGCCUCUGUCAGCGCACCCUCCAUCGGUGCGCCUUCCGUCGGUGCUCACUAUCUCUCACAUGAACCCUACCUUUGUCAACGCUGAUUCUCUCUUGCUCCUCCCUCAGUUGUCGUUGCCUCUCCCUCAAUCAUCGCUCCUUCCUUAAUCGAUGCUUAACCCUCACCAUAACAUAAGAAGUUACAGAGGAUUUUUUGGGUUUAACUAUUGGUGGAGGUAGGGGUGAACGCGGAUUGGAUCGGAUCAGAUAUGACCAAAAUCUCGAUCCAAUAUCUAAUUUUUAAGCUUUGAUCCGAUCCGCACAUUUGUGGAUCGGAUAUCGGAUAUAUUUGCAAAACAUAAAAAUAUUUUUAAAAGCUUGUUUUUAUUAAAAAAUAUCAAUAAAUUUUUUUUAUUAUUUUUAACAUGUUUACUUUUAAAAUAAUAUUAAACAUACUUUUCUUAAAUAAUAAAAAUAAAAAUUAUAACAUAUAUGAUAAUUAUUAGUUGAAAUAAAACAUAAAAAGAAUAUUUACUUAUGUAUUUAUUUUUGCGGAUAUGUGGAUUGGAUAUGCGGAUACCAACAUAAAAUCCGUAAUCCGAUUCUAUUAGUAUGCGGAUUAGAUCCGAUAGUCUUGCGGAUCGAAUCCAUAUACGCAAUUUUCGAAUCGGAUACGGAUAAAUCCCGCGGAUAUGUGGAUCUGAUCCGAUCCAUGAACAUUCCUAAGUAGAGGAGCGAGAAAUCGGAUUGCCAACCCCACAAUUUUAGAUGAGUUUCACCAAGUCACUGCUUUAGGUGGUUUAGGAGCUGGGAUCAUUGCUCUUAAAUAUCCUGGAAUAUUGUAUGAAUGUCACUGCUUGCAUCAAGCUUUGUUGAUGUAAGCUCAAAUAAUUACAAGUUAUUUUUAAUUUCUAUCAA